GGAUGACGGUACAGAGCUGAACCAGUGAGCAGAGUCGACAGAGGAAUAUUAAGUUUUCAGCCUUUUAUUUUGUGUUUGAAAGUGUUUUCUUUCGUUCCCGUUUCGUCUGUUGUGAUAGACUGUGGUUAUGUUGAACAGUAUUUGUUAAGUUUAAUUAAGAACUGCUGAAGAACAGCGAACUGCACAUGCGAACGCACAUGGACACGGACUGAUCGUGAUGGCGAGCCACCCAUUUUAGGAAUAAUCUGGAAUAACCAGACCUGUUUCAUCGUGAGGAUUCCUUUCUUUUGUGGAGGACGGAGUCAUUAUUCAGCAAAACAGAGGUCCUAUGAGCUUGUUGAACACGCCUGUGCAGACCUUCUUGUCCUGGAUCCAGAUGUGCUGACGGAUUACCACCCUCUAACAGCAUACACAGUUGGUGGAAAGCUGAUGGUGACCCCAAGGACGUUCCUUCUCCAUUAAAGCAACUCAAAAUGACUUUGUUACUUCGGGUAGUUCUUUCUACCAGAGAAGCCUGGCAAGUCCAGCUUCCUGAAGUACCAGCAUCUGUGGGGCAAUUGAUUGAUAUACUUAAAGAGCGACUCAAACUUCCAGGUGAUUUCUCACUACAGUUUGAGGAUCCAGAGUUUGGAAAUGCACUAUUGCAACCUGACAGCAAUAUCUGAAUUACCAGCUGAGCGUGCAGUCCUGCAUAUAAUGUGGAACUGUGAUUCAUCUCCACUUAACUAAUCCACUGCUUCAGUGUCCUCAGUCAGUUCAGUCUUUUCCCAGGACACAGUGUUCACUCUGAAGAUUUCAGGCCUAGCUGGACUGAUUCUAUCCAGAUGAACUUAAGGCAUGUCUAAAAGUGGCCCUCUCCAUUUCUUGUCCCCAAGUUUCCAUAUGAUGUUGAACUAAAAUUUUGUAAGGCUAAUGUGACAUACGAAAAAUCUAAGAAGGGCCUUGCAGUGACAAGUUACAUGAUGACAGAGAUUUUGGAUAAAAUUGCAGAGUUUUUGACAUCAAAGGCUACCCUAAGAAAGAUGAGCUUGAGUCAGUUGCCUCUGCACUGGUUCUCAAGUAUCCAUGUAUGAAGGAGCCAGGUAGCAUCACAGGCUAUGAGGGAUGGAAAGCAAGUAUCAAGCACAAACUUGUAAACUACAGAUCAAAGCUUCGUCAGACAGGCUGCAAUGUGGUAAAUGUAAACAGGAAAAGACAAGGGGGAGAUGAAAAGGGCAGUUCUUUCACCCUUAAAAAGCCCAAACGUGGAGAGGUCAAUCAUGUCCCAGAUUAUCCACAACACAAUGAUGAUUCUACUCUUGAAGAGGAAAGAGUUGCUCUGGUCGAUGAAAUGAAGAAGAAACAAAAGAACAUGACAGUCAUACAGCAGAAGAUGGCACUGACAUUUUCCCUCAGGUGGAUAGAGGUCAUGGACUGUCAACCUAUGGUAUCUGAGGUCCAGGAGAAAUGGCCUGCGUGGUUUUCCUCUGAGUAGAUAUCUGAAGAAUUUCAUUGGAUCACAAGCAAAGACCUCCUGCGGACUUUCAAUGCAUCAUUUGACAAAUUUGUGCCUGGCCUGCUGAAACUGUACCAGUCUAAGAAGGGAGCUCUUGGUGAGAAGAUGGAAGACCUCCUGGAUAAACUUGAUGAACAGACAUCCAUCAUUGUAUCCCACCGAAAGACAGCAGCAUUGAGAGGCCUGCCCAUUUUCCUCCGAGAAGAGGCAACAAAGGUUUUCCUGAAGUUCUUGGACACUGACAUUUUGGAACCAGUGCUGAACGGUGCAUCUGUUGCCAUCCUCACCAUCCUACAAGAUGACGAUGUUGGUACGUCUGUGUGAGACCAGACAGUUGUGUUGGAAGGGGACAUCGUGCUACAUAACAUUCCAGACCUCUCUACUGCCUUGGCAUACCUCUUUGGCCUUCUGUAUGCCCUCAAUAUUGAUUAUCCAAAGCAGAUGAAGUAUACCUUUGAAGCAAUUCAAGCCAUCUUUUUUGAGCUCGGUGGCUCUCAAUGCUCACAGCGCAUAAGGUCUCUGAAAACAAAGCUUUUGCUGUGACUGUUAAUGGGGAAGCCAGACAUGACUUUAACUUGUGUUCUUUAGCCUGUUGAAGUGCAUUUUAGUUGAGUCAUGUAAAAAAACAGUAGUUAAACCCCUUUUCCUCUGAUAUAAUCAUUUGCCAUUUACCAAGAGUUGAAUAUUUAGUGUUUGAACUGUUAAAAUUCAUUAUUGUUCAAGUAAAACUAAUGUAUAAAUGCAAAAAAUAAAAAAAAAUAAAAAAACUUCACCUCUGUUUCAACUGGC